CCAACCAGACAACAGAAACAUAUCUUCCUUGAUUUCCUCCUGUUUCAAACCGCUGUCUCUCUCUCCCUUCUUUCUCAUAUUCCUUGUCUCUCUCUCGCUGUAUGUUAUUUAUGUGUGAGGAUUGGUAUAGCGUAUUCUAAUCUUUCCAAAGGAAUUACACCUCCCCUCUUUAUUCCUUCCCCUAAGGCUCUCUCUCUCUCGCUCUCUCUCUCUCCCCCCCCCCUCUCUCUCUCUCUCUCUCUCUCUCUCUCUCUCUCUCUCUCUCUCUCUCUCUCUCUAUGUCUAUCUUUGUCUCUUUUUUGUCUUUCUAUCUCUUUCUUUCUCAGUGGAAUUGAAUAUUGCUUUUGUAAUCUCGCAGACGGAAGGCCUUUGGUCAUGCAUUGGGUUCUGAUGGCUGGUGCUGAUGCAGAGAGAGAGAGCUGAGUUGCUAUGCAGAUUUAUUCUGAAUAAUAACAAGAUGUGAAUACACCUAUACCAGUCGGGGACUGUGCUCCUUAUCGAGACUGGUAACACGCACCUCAGGGCUAGUGCGAGGAGCAGGAACAGGACGUACUGGACGGGCCAGGCGCACUGGAGGCCUAAUGCAUGGAACUGGCUUUGGAGGUGCCAGUUCCAUAGCCGAUCAUUGAGAGUAUCUCUACCGCUCCUGCUGUCUCUAGAGAGUUGAAAACAGCAGGUCUGGGAC
rnacentral:lncRNA from 1 species